CCAAUAGCGUAUAUUAAAGUUGUUGCAGUUAAAAAGCUCGUAGUUGAAUUUCGGGGUUCUUCCGUUGGUCAGGCUAACAAGUCUGUACUAGCGUGUAGAAUCUCUACCUUCUGGGGAACCAUCAUGUUAUUAAUUUAGCGUGGUGGGAAACCAGGACCUUUACCUUGAAAAAAUUAGAGUGUUCAAAGCAGGCUUACGUCUGAAUACAUUAGCAUGGAAUAAUAAAAUAGGACGGUGGUCCUGUUUUGUUGGUUUCUGAAUCACCGUAAUGAUUAAUAGGGAUAGUUGGGGGAAUUAGUAUUCAAUUGUCAGAGGUGAAAUUCUUGGAUUUAUUGAAGACUAACUUCUGCGAAAGCAUUUGCCAAGGAUGUUUUCAUUAAUCAAGAACGAAAGUUAGGGGAUCGAAGACGAUCAGAUACCGUCGUAGUCUUAACCAUAAACUAUGCCGACUAGGGAUCGGACGAUGUUAAAUUUUAUUGACUCGUUCGGCGCCUUACG
rnacentral:misc_RNA from 1 species